CAGAGGAAAGUCUCCUGUACCCAGCUGUGUGUCCAUGAAGAGUGAUUGGUCUAUGGGUGGUCUGAUUAACUUCAAAGAUGGACGUCAAUCUAAUGACCCACUUUCACAGCAGCAGACAGAAAAGUCCUUUGUACCCAGCUGUGUGUCCAUGAAGAGUGAUCGGUCUAUGGGUGGUCUGAUUAACUUCAAAGAUGGACGCCAAUCUAAUGACCCACUUUCACAGCAGCACAGAGGAAAGUCUCCUGUACCCAGCUGUGUGUCCAUGAAGAGUGAUCGGUCUAUGGGUGGUCUGAUUAACUUCAAAGAUGGACGCCAAUCUAAUGACCCACUGUAAGUACCUUAAACCUUAUGAAACAAUGAGCUAGCUGUU